rnacentral:rRNA from 1 species
CCCAGACUCCUACGGGAGGCAGCAGUGGGGAAUAUUGGGCAAUGGGGGAAACCCUGACCCAGCGACGCCGCGUGAGGGAAGAAGGUUUUCGGAUUGUAAACCUCUGUCCUUGGUGACGAUAAUGACGGUAGCCAAGGAGGAAGCCACGGCUAACUACGUGCCAGCAGCCGCGGUAAUACGUAGGUGGCAAGCGUUAUCCGGAUUUACUGGGUGUAAAGGGCGUGUAGGCGGGAAAGCAAGCCAGAUGUGAAAACCAUGGGCUCAACCUGUGGCCUGCAUUUGAAACUGUUUUUCUUGAGUACUGGAGAGGCAGACGGAAUUCCUAGUGUAGCGGUGAAAUGCGUAGAUAUUAGGAGGAACACCAGUGGCGAAGGCGGCCUGCUGGACAGCAACUGACGCUGAGGCGCGAAAGCGUGGGGAGCAAACAGGAUUAGAUACCCGCGUA